rfam:Pythium ultimum DAOM BR144 ctg_1117875581188, whole genome shotgun sequence.
CCAUUGGACUUCUUAAAGUCCACAAAAAAUAUUAUAAAUUUAAAA